UCCAAAAUCUCCUGGUAGAUGACUGUGUUGACCCUGGACUUAGUGAAGCACAGUGGACCAACACCAGCAGAUGACAUGGCUCCCCAAAUCAACGCAGACUGUGGAAACUUCACACUGGACUUCAAGCAUCUUGCAGUGUGUGCCUCUCCAUUCUUCCUCCAGACUCUGGGUCCUUGGUUUCCAAAUGAGAUGCAAAAGUUGCUCUCAUCAGAAAAGAGGACUUUGGACCACUGAGCAACAGACUAG